GCCAGAUACUGUAGAUGGAGGUCUCCGGGUUAUCGUUGGUGUGAAAAUAGUCUUGCAGGUUUUCCAUCAAUUUUGUCGUGAACACUUUGUCCUGAAGGAGUGUUUCGUUGAGGCGCCAUGGUGGUUUACCUCUAUGUUGGUAGUUGGAUCGCAGGGUCAGUGUAAUUGGGGCGUGGUCGGACCAGACUAUAUUGCCUAUUGAGCAGUCUUCUAUGAGC